rnacentral:rRNA from 1 species
ACAAAGGAUCCCUAGUAGCGGCGAGCGAAGCGGGAAGAGCUCAAAUUUAUAAUCUGGCACCUUCGGUGUCCGAGUUGUAAUCUCUAGAAAUGUUUUCCGCGUUGGACCGCACACAAGUCUGUUGGAAUACAGCGGCAUAGUGGUGAGACCCCCGUAUAUGGUGCGGACGCCCAGCGCUUUGUGAUACAUUUUCGAAGAGUCGAGUUGUUUGGGAAUGCAGCUCAAAUUGGGUGGUAAAUUCCAUCUAAAGCUAAAUAUUGGCGAGAGACCGAUAGCGAACAAGUACCGUGAGGGAAAGAUGAAAAGCACUUUGGAAAGAGAGUUAACAGUACGUGAAAUUGUUGGAAGGGAAACGCUUGAAGUCAGACUUGCUUGCCGAGCAAUCGGUUUGCAGGCCAGCAUCAGUUUUCCGGGAUGGAUAAUGGUAGAGAGAAGGUAGCAGUUUCGGCUGUGUUAUAGCUCUCUGCUGGAUACAUCUUGGGGGACUGAGGAACGCAGUGUGCCUUUGGCGGGGGUUUCGACCUCUUCACACUUAGGAUGCUGGUGGAAUGGCUUUAAACGACCCGUCUAACAACCCGGGGAAAAAAAA